UACGUAGGGUGCGAGCGUUAAUCGGAAUUACUGGGCGUAAAGCGUGCGCAGGCGGCGCGUUAAGACAGGUGUGAAAGCCCCGAGCUUAACUUGGGAAUUGCGCUUGUGACUGGCGUGCUGGAGUGUGGCAGAGGGAGGUGGAAUUCCACGUGUAGCAGUGAAAUGCGCAGAGAUGUGGAGGAACACCGAUGGCGAAGGCAGCCUCCUGGGCCAGCACUGACGCUCAUGCACGAAAGCGUGGGGAGCAAACAGG
rnacentral:rRNA from 1 species